rnacentral:rRNA from 1 species
GAGUUUGAUCCUGGCUCAGGAUGAACGCUGGCGGCGUGCUUAACACAUGCAAGUCGAACGAAGCACAGAUGUAGAAUUUCUUCGGAAAGGAAGCGCCUGUGACUGAGUGGCGGACGGGUGAGUAACGCGUGGGCAACCUGCCCCGUACCGGGGGACAACAGCUGGAAACGGCUGCUAAUACCGCAUACGUUUUCGGUGCCGCAUGGCGCCGAAAAGAAAACUCCGGUGGUAUGGGAUGGGCCCGCGUCUGAUUAGCUAGUUGGGAGGGUAACGGCCUACCAAGGCGACGAUCAGUAGCCGGCCUGAGAGGGCGACCGGCCACAUUGGGACUGAGACACGGCCCAGACUCCUGCGGGAGGCAGCAGUGGGGAAUAUUGCACAAUGGGGGAAACCCUGAUGCAGCGACGCCGCGUGAGCGAAGAAGUACCUCGGUAUGUAAAGCUCUAUCAGCAGGGAAGAAAGUGACAGUACCUGACUAAGAAGCCCCGGCUAACUACGUGCCAGCAGCCGCGGUAAUACGUAGGGGGCAAGCGUUAUCCGGAUUCACUGGGCGUAAAGGGAGCGCAGGCGGCGCGGCAAGUCUGAUGUGAAAGCCCGGGGCUCAACCCCGGGUCUGCAUUGGAAACUGUCGAGCUAGAGUGUCGGAGGGGUAAGCGGAAUUCCUAGUGUAGCGGUG